GGUUGUUCUGCACCUGCAGCCGGGUCAUGUCCAGCCGCAGCUCUACAAACUAUACCGGCAGCUGUUGCACGUCGCCCUGCGGGGUCACCACCUGCUGCACCAGCGUCACGGGCUGCGGCACCACGCUCGGGGCCGCGCUGUGGGACUUAGGUACCUGCACAACUUGGGCGCACGGCUGUAUAACAAAUUGUUGCUGGUUUGUAGUCGGCAACGUUUGCUGUUGCUGCACCACCUAAAA